GACGAACGCUGGCGGCAGGCCUAACACAUGCAAGUCGAGCGGAGCGGCGGACGGGUGAGUAAUGCCUAGGAAUCUGCCUGGUAGUGGGGGAUAACGUCCGGAAACGGUCGCUAAUACCGCAUACUAUCAGAUGAGCCUAGGUCGGAUUAGCUAGUGGGGGGGGUAAAGGCCUACCAAGGCGACGAUCCGUAACUGGUCUGAGAGGAUGACCAGUCACACUGGAACUGAGACACGGUCCAGACUCCUACGGGAGGCAGCAGGGGGGAAUAUUGGACAAUGGGCGAAAGCCUGAUCCAGCCAUGCCGCGUGUGUGAAGAAGGUCUUCGGAUUGUAAAGCACUUUAAGUAGGGAAGCGUUACCAGCAGAAUAAGCACCGGCUAACUUCGUGCCAGCAGCCGCGGUAAUAC
rnacentral:rRNA from 1 species